CGCGGCAAGACGGAAAGACCCCGUGAACCUUUACUAUAGCUUGACACUGAACAUUGAGCCUUGAUGUGUAGGAUAGGUGGGAGGCUUUGAAGCGUGGACGCCAGUCUGCGUGGAGCCGACCUUGAAAUACCACCCUUUAAUGUUUGAUGUUCUAACGUGGACCCGUGAUCCGGGUUGCGGACAGUGUCUGGUGGGUAGUUUGACUGGGGCGGUCUCCUCCUAAAGAGUAACGGAGGAGCACGAAGGUUGGCUAAUCCUGGUCGGACAUCAGGAGGUUAGUGCAAUGGCAUAAGCCAGCUUGACUGCGAGCGUGACGGCGCGAGCAGGUGCGAAAGCAGGUCAUAGUGAUCCGGUGGUUCUGAAUGGAAGGGCCAUCGCUCAACGGAUAAAAGGUACUCCGGGGAUAACAGGCUGAUACCGCCCAAGAGUUCAUAUCGACGGCGGUGUUUGGCACCUCGAUGUCGGCUCAUCACAUCCUGGGGCUGAAGUAGGUCCCAAGGGUAUGGCUGUUCGCCAUUUAAAGUGGUACGCGAGCUGGGUUUAGAACGUCGUGAGACAGUUCGGUCCCUAUCUGCCGUGGGCGCUGGAGAACUGAGGGGGGCUGCUCCUAGUACGAGAGGACCGGAGUGGACGCAUCACUGGUGUUCGGGUUGUCAUGCCAAUGGCACUGCCCGGUAGCUAAAUGCGGAAGAGAUAAGUGCUGAAAGCAUCUAAGCACGAAACUUGCCCCGAGAUGAGUUCUCCCUGAGACUUUAAGUCUCCUGAAGGAACGUUGAAGACGACGACGUUGAUAGGCCGGGUGUGUAAGCGCAGCGAUGCGUUGAGCUAACCGGUACUAAUGAACCGUGAGGCUUAACCUUACAACGCCGAAGCUGUU
rnacentral:rRNA from 1 species